UCCGGUUUGACACCGGCAGUCCCCUUAGAGUCCCCGACUUUACUCGAUGGUAACUAAGGGCAAAGGUUUCGCUCGUUAAGGGACUUAACCCGACAUCUCACGACACGAGCUGACGACAGCCAUGCAGCACCUGUACUAGUUGUAACCCUUGCGGGUCCUACCCGACUUUCAUCGGGAUAAUCCUAGCGAGUCAAACCCAGGUAAGGUUCUGCGCGUUGCUUCGAAUUGAACCACAUGCUCCACCGCUUGUGUGAGCCCCCGUCAAUUCCUUUGAGUUUUAGCCUUGCGACCGUACUUCCCAGGCGGUCCACUUAGCACUUUUGCUGCGACCGCAACCCCGUCAAGGGACUGCGAUCUAGUGGACAUCGUUUACGGCCAGGACUA
rnacentral:misc_RNA from 1 species